CACCCCUCUCUCUCACUCUACACUACACCACCCGGUCCACCACCAGCCACCACCGCUCCCCACCAACCAUCACUGGUUUGCAUUAAAGUCAUGAAAAAGACGACGACUCUCACACCAAAAUCCCCAAUCCUUCAUCCGCAUCCAGAACCCUAUUUCCCUGGUCUUUCACAAACAGAUCUUGAAGGAAACAUAUUUAAAUCCACAAGUGACGAUGGUCGUAGUCGUGAAGACCGUUUAUGCGUGUCAUCGAGGAGGGGAGCAACGUUUAGUUUUGCAAGUAUGUUAAAGAGUUGAGGGUUUUAGAUCCACAAGAGGAAGGGUUUUGCAAGUAUCUUAAAGAUUAUGCUGAUUUCUAAUUAUGAUGAGAAAGAUAAAACUUUUGUUUAUCUAGAGGAAGGGUUGGGUGGCUCUGUUUAAGUUGUAUGCUAUCCAUACAGGGCAUGAACUUGGACCUUUGGAUUAAGCAGGUAGAGGAAUUAGAACAUGAAAUCUGGCUUCUUGAAGGAAAAUUUCAAAAAUGCCAUAAGAGCUUUUAAGAUUGGUGUCUCAAGAGUUGGUUAGCUUUUAUAUUUUUUGUGCAGUGUAUGCUUACUAGUAUGAUUUUCUUGAGCUCUUUUACAUUCUGUAACUUGAAUUGUUGCUUGUUAUUAUAUCUUUAGUUCGAUUU